rnacentral:rRNA from 1 species
UACGAAGGGUGCAAGCGUUAUUCGGAAUGAUUGGGCGUAAAGGGUGCGUAGACGGUUUGUUAAGUCAACUGUUAAAUUCUCCAGCCUAACUGGAGGCAAGCGGUAGAAACUGGCGAACUUGAGGGUGAAAGAGAGAAGUGGAAUUCUCGGAGUAGCGGUAAAAUGCGUAGAUCUCGAGAGGAACACCGAUGGCGAAGGCAGCUUCUUGGUUCAUUUCUGACGUUCAUGCACGAAAGCGUGGGGAGCAAACAGG